rnacentral:rRNA from 1 species
GGUUUUUAGAUUUUAUUAAAAAUCAAGCCUGCUCAAUGCUAAGUAAAUAGCCGCAGAAUUUUAACUGUGCAAAGGUAGCAUAAUCACUUGUCUUUUAAUUGAGGACUAGAAUGAAAGGUUUAACUAUGUAAUUUUGUCUUAUAGUAAUAUUUUGAACUUAAUUUUUUAGUAAAAAAGCUAAAAUUCAUCUUAAAGACGAGAAGACCCUAUUAAGCUUUACAAUUUAAUAUUAUUUUCAAAAUAAUUAAAAAAUUGUUCUGCUGGGGCAGCAAAUAAAAAAAUAUUGUUUACAUAUUGUGAUAAAUAAAUCUAGAAAAAUCAAUAAUUUAUUAAAAAAUAAUAAGUUACUAUAGGGAUAACAGCAUAAUUUUUUUAAAGAGUUCUCAUCAACAAAAAAGUUUGUGACCUCGAUGUUGGAUUAAGAAUCCUAUUUUACGCAGUAGUAAAAAAAGGGAGUCUGUUCGACUUUUAAAUUCUUCCA